rnacentral:rRNA from 1 species
CCUACGGGAGGCAGCAGGGGGGGAUAUUGCACAAUGGGGGGAACCCUGAUGCAGCGACGCCGCGUGGGGGAAGAAGAGCCUCGGCGCGGAAAGCCCUGUCAGCAGGGAAGAAAAGGACGGUACCUGAAGAAGAAGCCCCGGCUAACUACGUGCCAGCAGCCGCGGUAAGACGGAGGGGGCAAGCGUUAUCCGGAUUUACUGGGUGUAAAGGGGGCGCAGACGGCGAUGCCAGCCAGGAGGGACAGCGCGGGGCCCAACCCCGGGACUGCUCUUGGAACUGCGUGGCUGGAGUGCAGGAGGGUCAGGCGGAAUUCCUGGUGUAGCGGUGAAAUGCGUAGAUAUCAGGCGG